rnacentral:rRNA from 1 species
UUGAACGCUGGCGGCAUGCUUUACACAUGCAAGUCGAACGGGCUGGGGGCAACUCCAGUCAGUGGCGAACGGGUGAAGUAAUGCAUCGGAACGUGUCCCGUAGUGGGGGAUAACCCGGCGAAAGCCGGACUAAAUACCGCAUAUGCUCCUACGGAGGAAAGCAGGAGGACCAGACGGCCUGGGGGAGGAGGUCCGCGGCCGAUUAGCUAGGUUGGUGUGGUAAGGCGCACCAAGGCGACGAUCGGUAGCUGGUCUGAGAGGAUGGAUCAGCCACACUGGGAUUGAGACACGGCCCAGACUCCUACGGGGGGGCAGCAGUGGAGGAAUCUUCGGCAAUGGGGGCAACCCUGACCGAGCCGACGCCGCGUGCGGGAAGACGCCUUUCGGGGUGUAAACCGCUUUUGUCUGGGGGGAACUAGGAUGACGUGGACGGUACCCCAGGACAAGAAGCACUCGGCUACUACGUGCAGCAGCAGCCCGCGGUAAUAUACGUAGGAGGCGAGCGUUGUCCGGAGUUACUGGGGCGUAAAGGGGUGCGCAGCAGGCGGCUGCGUGCGUGGCGUGUGAAAAUCGCUCCUGGCUCCACUGGGAGGGUGGGCGCCAACGGCGUGGCUUGAGGCUCGGCAGGGGGGGCGUGGAAUUCCGGGGGUGGAGCGGUGAAAUGCGUAGAGAGUCCGGAGGAACAACCGACGGCGAAGGCAGCGCCCUGGACCGAGACCUGACGCUCAGGCACGAAAGCUAGGGGGAGCAAACAAGGAUUAGAUACCCUGGUAGUCCCAGCCCUAAACGAUGUCCACCAGGUGCCGCGGGUAUCGACCCCCUGCGGUGGCCGCAGCUUACGUGAUGAGUGGACGCCUGGGGAGUACGGCCGCAAGGUUGAAACUCAAAGGAAUUGACGGGGGCCCGCACAAGCAGCGGAGCGUGUGGUUUAAUUCGAUGCAACGCGAAGCACCUUACCGGGGCUUGACAUGGGACUGCACCACGGGUAACGCCCGUGUCCUCUUCGGAGCCGGUUCCACACGGAUGCUGCAGUGGCUGUCGUCAUCGCCUCGUGCCGUGAGGUGUUCGGGUUAAGUCCCCUAACGAGCGCAAACCCCUAGGGUCCGUUGUACGUUUCGGGCCCGACUGCCGCGCGCGCAACGCGGAGGAAGGUGGGGACUGAUGUCAAGUCAGCACGGCCCGACUGACGUCCCGGGCGACACACUACGCUACAAUGUGGCCGCGACAACGUGGGUUGCCAACAACGCCGCGGAGGGGGGAGCCAAUCUCAUUCAAACGGCGGGUCUCAGUUCGGAUUGCAGGGCUGCAACUCGCCUGCAUGAAGCUGGAGUUGCUAGUAACCCGCGGGUCAGCACACCGCGGUGAAUACGUUCCCGGGCCUUGUACACACCGCCGUCACACCACGAAGCCACGAGCACACCUGAAGCCGCUGGGCUAACGGGGCUUGCCCGAGCAGGCGUCGAGGGUGGGGGUUCGGUGAUUGGGGUG